GAUGAACGCUGGCGGCGUGCCUAAUACAUGCAAGUCGAGCGAACAGACGAGGAGCUUGCUCCUCUGACGUUAGCGGCGGACGGGUGAGUAACACGUGGAUAACCUACCUAUAAGACUGGGAUAACUUCGGGAAACCGGAGCUAAUACCGGAUAAUAUAUUGAACCGCAUGGUUCAAUAGUGAAAGACGGUUUUGCUGUCACUUAUAGAUGGAUCCGCGCCGCAUUAGCUAGUUGGUAAGGUAACGGCUUACCAAGGCAACGAUGCGUAGCCGACCUGGGAGGGUGAUCGGCCACACUGGAACUGAGCCACGGUCCAGACUCCUACGGGAGGCAGCAGUAGGGAAUCUUCCGCAAUGGGCGAAAGCCUGACGGAGCAACGCCGCGUGAGUGAUGAAGGUCUUCGGAUCGUAAAACUCUGUUAUUAGGGAAGAACAAAUGUGUAAGUAACUAUGCACGUCUUGACGGUACCUAAUCAGAAAGCCACGGCUAACUACGUG
rnacentral:rRNA from 1 species